AAUCAUUGUCUAUAAUCAUAGAAAGUGAUAACUCUUAAAUAUACGUCAAGCAUACGAGUUAAAACGAACAACAUUAUGAACAUUUCUGUCCUAGUGAUUAGCCUAAUUAUUGUGAGUGUGGUGGUGAUUAUUAUCCCACCGUGCGGGGCUGCACUUGGACGAAGGAAGGCUUAGACAGAAAGAUAGCCAGAUUUCACAAAAACCCCCCGCACCGAAAGGCGCGGGGGGUUUUUUUUGGGGGCUCAUUUGCCACAGAGACACAAAUAUAACAAAGCAUCGCGGCCACUAAUAAUCGCAGGGUAAAUAUCACGGGAGAU
rfam:Xenorhabdus nematophila ATCC 19061 chromosome, complete genome